CUAGUCUCAAACUCCUGACCUCAAAUGAUCUGCCCAGCUUGGCCUCCCAAAGUACUGGGAUUACAGGCGUAAGCCACCACACCCAGCCUCCCAGUGAGUUUAAAACAUUUUUUUCUCUUAUAAAAUUUUCAAACACGCAAAAGAUUAAAUCAUUAUACAGGGAACAUCUAGAUUUACUGCUUUUUACUAUAUUGGCUAUAUCACAUCCCUAUUCAUCUAUCCCUCCAGCCAUCUCAUUUUUUAUGCACUUCAGUGUUAAGUUGCAGAUAUCAAUACACCUCACCCCCCUAAUUCUUCAGGUAGGUAUAGUUCAAUAUUCUUUCUUUCUUUUACAGUAAAAUUUACAAUGAAAUGCACAAAUCUAAAGUGCAGAAACAACCUAAUUUUUAAUUCAAGCCUACUCAAGAACAUGGCCAGGCGUGGUGGCUCACGACCGUAAUCUCAGCACUUCGGGAGGCCAAGAUGGGUGGAUCACCUGAGGUCAGGAGUUUGAGACCAGCCUGGCCAACAUUGUGACGCCCCAUCUCUACUGAAAAUACAAAAAUCAGCCAGGCAUGGUGGCAGGUGCCUGUAAUCCCAGCUACUCCGGAGGCUGAG
rnacentral:lncRNA from 10 species